UACGGAGGGGGCUAGCGUUGUUCGGAAUUACUGGGCGUAAAGCGCACGUAGGCGGCUUUGUAAGUUAGAGGUGAAAGCCCGGAGCUUAACUCCGGAACUGCCUUUAAGACUGCAUCGCUUGAAUCAUGGAGAGGUUAGUGGAAUUCCGAGUGUAGAGGUGAAAUUCGUAGAUAUUAGGAAGAACACCAGUGGCGAAGGCGGCUCACUGGAUCGGUACUGACGCUGAGGUGCGAAAGCGUGGGGGAGCAAACAGG
rnacentral:rRNA from 1 species